rnacentral:rRNA from 1 species
AUACAGAGGGUGCAAGCGUUAAUCGGAAUUACUGGGCGUAAAGCGCGCGUAGGCGGUUUAAUCAGUCGGAUGUGAAAGCCCCGGGCUCAACCGGGGAACUGCAUUCGAUACUGUUAAGCUAGAGUAUGGUAGAGGGAAGUGGAAUUCCAGGUGUAGCGGUGAAAUGCGUAGAUAUCUGGAGGAACAUCAGUGGCGAAGGCGACUUCCUGGACCAAUACUGACGCUGAGGUGCGAAAGCGUGGGGAGCAAACAGGAUUAGAAACCCUUGUAGUCC